CCUGUGGUCUCCACAUCCUGGCGGUCAUGUAGAUGAGACCUGCAGUAUGCCUCUAGGCAACAGAGCUUAGCAAAGCUGACGCGAUGCUUAUGGUUCCAAGUCCAUGGUCAUGUUACCCAGUGUUGGAGGAGCUGCUUCUUGGCUGGCUCUGAGAAGAGGGAAGCCAUGCUGGGGUCUCACACAGAACUUCGGAUAGCUGAGGUCAUCUUCCAGUCAACUGCCAGCAAAAGCACCACUGCUCUGCAAGUCUUCCCUGUGCUCGGGUUACGGGUUGUGCAGCUUCCCGUCCUCGCCUGAGAAGCUUCCUUGUACAAUGGACUGCAGCCAAAAUGCAGAGAGUGUAUGACUACGGUGUGCUCAGCCAUAAGCCAGCUAUUCGUUUAAACUGCACUGGAAACCAGAAUACUGCCUGCACAAUAUAAAUUCAAGAUAUGUUUGUUAAAUUGAACUAGUCUGACACAUGCAACAAAGAUGACUCUUUCUUA